AGACCCGAAACCCGGUGAUCUAGCCAUGGGCAGGUUGAAGGUUGGGUAACACUAACUGGAGGACCGAACCGACUAAUGUUGAAAAAUUAGCGGAUGACCUGUGGCUGGGGGUGAAAGGCCAAUCAAACCGGGAGAUAGCUGGUUCUCCCCGAAAGCUAUUUAGGUAGCGCCUCGUGAAUUCAUCUCCGGGGGUAGAGCACUGUUUCGGCUAGGGGGCCAUCCCGGCUUACCAACCCGAUGCAAACUGCGAAUACCGGAGAAUGUUAUCACGGGAGACACACGGCGGGUGCUAACGUCCGUCGUGAAGAGGGAAACAACCCAGACCGCCAGCUAAGGUCCCAAAGUCAUGGUUAAGUGGGAAACGAUGUGGGAAGGCCCAGACAGCCAGGAUGUUGGCUUAGAAGCAGCCAUCAUUUAAAGAAAGCGUAAUAGCUCACUGGUCGAGUCGGCCUGCGCGGAAGAUGUAACGGGGCUAAACCAUGCACCGAAGCUGCGGCAGCGACGCUGAUGCGUUGUUGGGUAGGGGAGCGUUCUGUAAGCCUGUGAAGGUGGCCUGUGAGGGUUGCUGGAGGUAUCAGAAGUGCGAAUGCUGACAUAAGUAACGAUAAAGCGGGUGAAAAGCCCGCUCGCCGGAAGACCAAGGGUUCCUGUCCAACGUUAAUCGGGGCAGGGUGAGUCGACCCCUAAGGCGAGGCCGAAAGGCGUAGUCGAUGGGAAACGGGUUAAUAUUCCCGUACUUGGUGUUACUGCGAAGGGGGGACGGAGAAGGCUAUGUUGGCCGGGCGACGGUUGUCCCGGUUUAAGCGUGUAGGCUGGUUUUCCAGGCAAAUCCGGAAAAUCAAGGCUGAGGCGUGAUGACGAGGCACUACGGUGCUGAAGCAACAAAUGCCCUGCUUCCAGGAAAAGCCUCUAAGCAUCAGGUAACAUCAAAUCGUACCCCAAACCGACACAGGUGGUCA
rnacentral:rRNA from 1 species